rnacentral:rRNA from 1 species
AGAGUUCGAUUAUGGCUCAGGACGAACGCUGGCGGCGCGCCUAACACAUGCAAGUCGAACGAGAGAGAGGAAGCUUGCUUCCUCAAUCGAGUGGCGAACGGGUGAGUAACGCGUGAGGAACCUGCCUCAAAGAGGGGGACAACAGUUGGAAACGACUGCUAAUACCGCAUAAGCCCACAGCUCGGCAUCGAGCAGAGGGAAAAGGAGCAAUCCGCUUUGAGAUGGCCUCGCGUCCGAUUAGCUAGUUGGUGAGGUAACGGCCCACCAAGGCGACGAUCGGUAGCCGGACUGAGAGGUUGAACGGCCACAUUGGGACUGAGACACGGCCCAG